UUCACACUCCAUGAGCACCAGUCUGCGGUCAUAAUUGCAUCUAACCUUCUCUAGGCUAUUUCCUUGCAAUCCCCUCGCUCGAUCGUCACUUCCAAUAAGUCUGUCUAUUCACGCUAUUUCUCUAUUUUAGGAUACGAUGGCCUCCGAGAGAAUCACUCGCAGUAAAGUUGCCACCAUUCCCAUUGGGCAAAUGGCUACAAAGGAGUGUUUGACACUAUUUGGUUUCGGACUCCCAUGGAUCAAGCCAAUUGGGUUCACUUCAUUUCCCGUGCCAUCACUGUGGAACGACCCAUGAUCUUCAAGCUUUCAGGGUAAGGGAAAGAUUCAAAGCUUUUGGUUGGGAUGCAGUGUUGAAGGUGGAGGAGGAGGUGUAUCCAAGAUUAGUUCGGGCCUUUUAUUACAAUUUGGUAGGAAAACACAUCAGAAAUGGCGAGUAUCGGAUUGUUAGCCGUGUGGUUGGUAAGGAUAUCUCUCUCACCACUGCUGAAUUUGGUCGGAUUAUUGGUGUGUUUAAUGAGGGUAACAAAAACUUAUUAUCCCCUAAGGACUAGCUCCUGUGGUUAUUUCAUUGAGACAGAGAGAGACCUAUUGAAGGCUGUUGUCAUCGAGGGUGGUGAGGCAAAUUGGGCCUUAAUUGCCAACUGGAGACCCACUCCUCGAGUAUUGUGCAGGAUUGUACAACACAAUAUCCAGCCUAUCAGUGGUUAUUUUAGUGAGGUGUCAUUAAUGUAGGCUUAUACGGCCUUUUGCUUGUACAUAGGCGAGCAGAUUAGCUUGCCCUACCUGAUGUUGCGGCAUUUGGUGCACUGUGCCUACCGCCCUAGUGAUGGUCAUCUUUUCUAUGGCAAAGUUUUGACUAAGGUAUUCAAGCACACGAGGAUUUUCCUAGAUCGUGAGGAGAAGGAGUCCCAUCCUAUCCCCUUCGAUAGGACCAUCUUAGAGAAGAUGCAACUACAUCAGUAUGUAGGUAGUGACCAGGAUGAGGCACCAGCAGCAGAGGAUGACCCAGCAGACCAUGAGAAUGAUGAGCAACAUGUGGGUGACGAGCAGCAUGAGGAGGAGGUGCAGCAUGAGGAUGAGAAGCAGCAUGAGGAUCCCCUUUGAGACUUCCGUAUCAGUGGUGUGGAUAUGGAUCUAUAUGGGUUUACAGUAGAGGAGGUUGAGGUGUUAGGUCUACAACUUCCAUAUGUCCAGGAGGAGGGUACUCAUGGUACUUUCCCUACUGAGGAGGCUCUACGGUCUGGUUAUACACCUUCCCAGACUCAUUUUGAGACCGAUUCAGAGACUACCCAGCCUACUGCCUAGAAUGGAGAUGCCCUGACUUUGCAAAUGGUACCAGAUCAUAUGGAAAGAGGUGUCACUUAGGUCACUACUAGCUUAGAGACUCUAAGUUCGAGGGUCGAGACUGUAGAGGCUGCUCUUGAUGGAUGGGCAGAGUGCUUGAACAUCCCGCCAAACUUCAGGCCUCCCCGUUAUCGAUCACUUGCUCAGGAUAGCGUGCCUCGGCUUCUUCUAGUUGACAGCAUAUCAAAUUUUUUUUUGUUUCACUUUUUGUUCUACUAACUUAGAUUAGUUUCUAGAAUAAUUCAGGUUGUAUUUAAAUGUUUAAUUUUUUCGGAUAUAACUCCCCCUUUUUGCA